GACGAACGCUGGCGGCGUGCCUAAUACAUGCAAGUUGAGCGAUGAAGAUUGGUGCUUGCACCAAUUUGAAGAGCAGCGAACGGGUGAGUAACGCGUGGGGAAUCUGCGUUUGAGCGGGGGACAACAUUUGGAAACGAAUGCUAAUACCGCAUAACAACUUUAAACAUAAGUUUUAAGUUUGAAAGAUGCAAUUGCAUCACUCAAAGAUGAUCCCGCGUUGUAUUAGCUAGUUGGUGAGGUAAAGGCUCACCAAGGCGAUGAUACAUAGCCGACCUGAGAGGGUGAUCGGCCACAUUGGGACUGAGACACGGCCCAAACUCCUACGGGAGGCAGCAGUAGGGAAUCUUCGGCAAUGGACGAAAGUCUGACCGAGCAACGCCGCGUGAGUGAAGAAGGUUUUCGGAUCGUAAAACUCUGUUGGUAGAGAAGAACGUUGGUGAGAGUGGAAAGCUCAUCAAGUGACGGUAACUACCCAGAAAGGGACGGCUAACUACGUG
rnacentral:rRNA from 1 species